GUCCAGGCAGCCCUGGCUGCCCAGGCUGACCUCACGCCCUCAGGGGGGUCUCCAACCACCUGGGUGGGUGUCUGAGCAGACAUGUGUCUCUGCUCAUUCUGGGAGCAGAAGUUGGAGUGGGCAGAAGCAGCAGCCAUACUGGCCAGGCCCAGCUCAGUAAACUCCAAGCACGGCUGGCUGACGGUCACUGUCACUGCAGAGCUUCCCACUGGAUCUGGCCGAUGAGGGGUCACCCUGUCCACCUCCCCGAGGGAGGUGUCGGACCAUCACCCCCUGCCCGUGAGACCCAGUGCAGUUUCCAGGUGAGCGUGCCCAUGGAGGAGUCAGCCCAACUGGGAAUGAAGAGGAAGCAGGCAAGGCCUCCUGCCCAGACACCACCCAGGACACACCCCAGGGACCAGUCUCAGGCUGCCACGGGGCUUGGCACACCCGGCUCCGACCCAGAGCCCCAAGAACCCCUGCCUCUGAGGCAGCAGGAGGACCUGGAGCCCAGCACAGCAGAGCACAGAGCUCUAGCACUGGCCUCUAAUUUCAAACAGACUCCACUUCCAAGUCCUGUCCCUACAGCAGUGGUUGCUACAGGUGCAGGACCCAGGGAUCCACCGAGGGGAGAUCAAGACCUGAGACUUCCCCUCCUAAAGACACCGGGCCUGCAGGGUACUGGCCAGCACACUGGGCAUAUCGGACCUCUGUGCCUGCAGGACCCCCAGCCCCAGGCACUGAUGUCCCACCCCCUCAGCGAGAACAUCCACCUCCACCUGCACCUGUACCUGCUCGGGCUUUGGCAGGAGAACCCGAGUCAGGGGAUGAAUCACCACCUCUGCAGGGAGAGCCUGCCCUGGCUCCUGACCAAGACCCAGACUCCCAGGAUGACUGACCCACCCCUGCAGGGAGAACAGGCCCCCGCUCUGGACAGAGACCCAGAGCCCUUUCUGGAAACUCUAUGUCCAGGGAAUGGUUAGCUCUACAGCCUCCAUCCCUGUCUGCUUCCGUGGAUGCCAUCAACUUGCUCCCACCCAGGGAGACUGAGUUCCUUCCCGAGUUUAUUUUCAUCUUGUUUGUGUGUAGCUUUCUUGUGCUGUUUUAUUUUUAUGGCUUUAUGUAUUUUUUUCUGUUGAGUUUUUGUUAAGAAAUUUUACCUUAAUUGAUGCAAUUUGGGAAUAUCAAGGCCUUCACAAUGCUGUAUAACCAUCACCACUGUCUACAUUCAGACUCUCUCAUUCUAUACCCCCCACUUCCCAGCAAAGCCUGGAUUCAUGUCAAGCACUCCCCGCUCCUCCCUCCCCCACCUGACAACAUUUAGUCUUCUUUUUCUCCAUUGCUUCCAAUUCUUUGGGUGUCCACAAUCAAUGCCAAUCCCUGAAAUGAUAGAAAAAUGGAUUUUUUCCUGAGUGAAAGUGAAAGUUAUAGUCGCUUAGUCUUGUUAGACUCUUUGCAACCCCAUGGAUUUUAUAGUCCAUGGAAUUA
rnacentral:lncRNA from 1 species